rnacentral:ncRNA from 2 species
CCUUAUUAGUCGGGGGGCAUUUUUGCUGAGAUCACCACGUGGUGAGACCCGUUGAACCUGAUUCAGUUAGUACUGGCGUAGGGAACUAUAGAAAGUAAAGA